ACGAACGCUGGCGGCAUGCCUAAUACAUGCAAGUCGAGCGGUGCAGCAAUGCAUAGCGGCGGACGGGUGAGUAACGCGUGGGCAACCUGCCUCAAGGAUUGGGAUAACACCCCGAAAGGGGUGCUAAUACCGAGUGUGCUCUAGGUGCCGCAUGGCAUAUAGAGGAUAGGAGAAAUCCGUUUUGAGAUGGGCCCGCGUCUGAUUAGCUAGUUGGUAGGGUAACGGCCUACCAAGGCGACGAUCAGUAGCCG
rnacentral:rRNA from 1 species